UUUUUAACAUUUAUUUUAAGAUGCACAUUUAUAUAUUUUUUCUUUAGAAAUAGCUGUUUAUACUAAUCCAGUAUGGGCUGAAAUUAGUGCUCACUUAGAAAAUAAAAUAUCUAAAAGUGCUAUACAUACAUUAGUGUUUAAAAACAGGUAUGAUGUUAAAAAAAACCUUGGAUUUCCAAAUUGUUCAAAAACUUUAACAUCUAAUGUUAUUAUUGAUUCACCGAAUGAAAGUGAUAGUUCAGAUGAUCGUAGCAACUUUGAUGAAGAUCUACCAAAAAGAAAGUUUGUUUUUACUUUUUCUGUUGAUGAGUGGAAUUUGAUCAAGCCGCAUGAUAUUGUAUAUAGACUGAAUGACAAAAAUAGACCAAAGCAACAUUUUAAAAGUUAUCAAGCGUUACAAAAGAAUCAAUGGACACCCAUACUAGCUGAACACUUUUGGAUCCAUACCCAAUUGCCAUGCUGUAUAUUGUUCCAAAGAGCUCAUGUAUCUCGACAUGGAAACAAUUUUGUUACUGUUAUAGGACGAUGCUCUGUAGUUGAAACAUGAAUAGCUCUGAAACAUCGACUGUUAAUGAUGUAGUAGAAAAAAAAAAACUAAUGUAAGAUUCCAGUACACUGAGGUUGAUUUACAAAAUACAGCCAUCUUUAUUAUUAAAAGUAUAAAAGUUGCUACAUCAAGUUCAUAAAGAAGCAGCUGGAUGUUCAAAAAUCUACACUUAGUAAUAAAGUAAACAAUACUGUACCUAUAUGUCGUAUAAUGGGUCCUCAAACUACAUUAACACAGGCUAAAGGUUUCUCUGUACACCCAGAAAAUGUUAAAGACUCGAUAUGAAAGUCGUUAAAAGAUUUAAAAAUAAAAAAUUCA